rnacentral:rRNA from 1 species
GACGAACGCUGGCGGCGUGCUUAACACAUGCAAGUCGAACGGAAAGGCCCGGCUUUUGUGGGGUGCUCUAGUGGCGAACGGGUGAGUAACACUUGAGUAACCUGCCCUUGACUUUGGGAUAACUUCAUGAAACUGGGGCUAAUACCGGAUAGGAUCUCCUGCUGCAUGGUGGGCGUUGGAAAGUUUCGGCGGUUGGGGAUGGAAUGGCGGCUUAUCAGCUUGUUGGUUGGGUAGUGUCUUACCAUGGCGUUGACGGGUAGCCGGGCUGGGAGGGUGACCGGCUCCGUCGGGCUUGGGCUGGGGCACAGCCUCCGAUGGGAGGCAACAGUGCGGAAUAGUGCACAGUGGGAGGGAGGAGGGUGCGACCAAGCAGCGUGCGGGAUGACGGGCUGAGGGUUGUAUACCGCUUUCCCUUGAGACGAAGAGUGAGUGACGGUAAUGGGUAAAGAAGCCCCGGCUAACUCCGUG